rnacentral:tRNA from 1 species
GUCCUGUGGCGCAAUGGAUAACGCGUCUGACUACGGAUCAGAAGAUUCCAGGUUCGACUCCUGGCAGGAUCGCAGAUAUCAACUUUUUUUCAUCUUUCUUUUUUAGCGUUAAAUAUAUUUGAAUGGAAGGUUGCAUUAUCUCUCACAGGCCGCGGUAUUUUCUUGGAAAUGUACAAAAAGAAAUAGCCGCCCCCGGGUGGACUCGAACCACCAACCUUUCGGUUAACAGCCGAACGCGCUAACCAAUUGCGCCACGGAGGCCAUGUAAUAGGUCUAAAUUGUACCUUUAAAAUAGAGUCCUCCAUCAAAGUGUUAAACUUUCGAAAGAAAGGCAGCUCAGGACUACCAUUUCUUUUCAGAUUAUUCUUUGUAGUUUGUUUUCUGAACAAAUUUAGUAGAAUUUAACGAUGUUUCAGCAGCCUCCGUGGCGCAAUUGGUUAGCGCGUUCGGCUGUUAACCGAAAGGUUGGUGGUUCGAGUCCACCCGGGGGCGGAAAUACCUUUUUUGUAAUGUUAAACUAAACCAUAGUUAUGAAAUUAAUUUCCUUGAGCAAAAUGAUAUUAUACAAGAGGGGCAAGCUUUAUCUAUGUGCCAUCUUAGUAAAAAAAUAUGGGCACUUAAACAGAUCUUACAGCAUUUUACGAACUAUUCUUCCAAGUUCUGAAGAAAGUCUCAUAUUUAGAGAGACAUUCGGACAAAAUGAAAAUGUGACGCGGGGUUGUCAUCGGCCUCCGUGGCGCAAUUGGUUAGCGCGUUCGGCUGUUAACCGAAAGGUUGGUGGUUCGAGUCCACCCGGGGGCGGCACAACAUUUUUUUCCAAUUUUUCUGAUUUUUAUUUCGAUAUUAGUAGUGAAGAAGCUCUUCUAUAAAGCAAGCAAAGGUGGAAUCGCGUUAAAGCUGAUAUCAAUCCAAGGUCGCAUUCACGAAACCAGCAGAGCAGCUCGUUGUGUUUUAUGUUUUGCAACUUCCUCUCUUCUACCGCUCCCUUCCUCUUCUGACUACGAUUCCAGUUGUGGAUCCAGUUUGUACAAUAACAUUUUGAGCGCUGGGUCAGUCAGUCCGCUGCGAAUUUAUGCAGUGCAAUGGACUGGAGGCGAUCCUACUGCAUUUAUGUAAAGCGUUUCGUCACGAUUCGCGCUGAAGGAGGAAAUAGCAAAUGAAUUGGAAUCAGCGGAAUCGGCAGAUGGGAUGAUGAGUUGUGUUACAGCCCCUGAAAAACCCUCAGCAUGGUGAAUAAGAAGCGCAGGGAAGGGGAGAGAGAAACUACACAUAUAUUUUUCAUGGCUAGUUUUCUGAAAUCUCACGUCGCCCAAUUAGAACCCUCAUGGCAUACAAAAGCAAUAAUAAAUAACAGCGUCUAAUGGCAACUAUAACAAGUAUGGGCCCACCAUGCAUGCAUACUACAUAUUUAAAUGGGGGUACAGUCCAUAAUAUCAUUGUAAGCCGACUUCGAUAACUUUUGAACAUAAAAAAAGCUGCCUCGAAUCGGUUAGAUGUGGUUAUAUAUUCCUAUAAUCUAUAGAUCUACUCAAGAGUCAAAGCAAUCAUUAGCUAAAAUUAAGUUCCCAUAAAUGUAUACCAUUAUAUAAUUAUUGCAAGCACUGUCUGUAUGCCAUCUUGUUAGCAAGUACAUCAAAAUAUUGCAACGUUUUGUUUUAGCUCUGCCCACAAAUUCGCUUUGAUUGCAGUGCAUUAACCGCAUUUUGCGCCAUAUAAACAAAAUAGUCGACAUCUCAUAUAGGAAACCAUAUCUAUACUAAAUAUACUAUACUGCUAAAUAGUCUCUGUAUAUAUGUAUGUGUGUGUGUGGUUUUAUUUUUAAGGUUAAGUUCAGUCAUUCGCCUCGUUUCGUUUUAUUUGCAUGACAAACAAAACGUUUUUAAUAUUUCGACGUCGUCCGUUGCUGUCGGUUCGGUUAGGUUCGGUUCGGCCAUUCAAAUUUCAAAGUUAUGCAUACGAAGAUUUUUUUUGCAUUUUCUAAACGUGCUUUUAUUUGCAUUUGCAUUUGCCUGCUGGCCCCAACCCCAGCCCCAACCAUAGACCCAGACGAUUAGCCACGGGCUGCGUCAGCUUCUGCCCGCGACAGUAUUUCAUUUCAAUAUGGAAAUAUGUGCUCGUAUUUUCCACAGACUCGAGUAUUGUUUCAGCUCCGUCUUCGGUCUGCCUUCAUUAGGGGACUUUCAGACAAUGCAGCGCCGUUGUAACUGCACUCGGAUCAAAUUCAUGACACGAUUGCCAAGGCCAACUGAUAAAGAUGGAGGAGGAAAACUAAACCAAAACGAAAACGAAAAAAAGCUGUUUCGCCCAACGUGGGGCUCGAACCCACGACCCUGAGAUUAAGAGUCUCAUGCUCUACCGACUGAGCUAGCCGGGCAGUGUAACCUGCGCUGGACAAUAUAUCUUGCUGAAAUAAUGGGAUGGAAGAUUCAGAAUAUGAUCUAGAUCUAUUUAUCUUUUAAUUUAUUUAAAAAUUCUUGUGAUUUGUCUUUGAAAGGAAAAAAGUAUGAGAAAGAUUCUUUGGUGCUUCUUUGGUUUUUAAAAAUGUCGAACGAUUAUAAGAAUAGUAAUUUAAAUGUACGUUCUAAAGUUUUCUUCCUUAAUUCCCCUUUGUUUCUAUAAUAUUUUGAAACUAAUAAAAUAAUUCUAGAAAAUAAAAAAAGGUUAGUUUCGCCCAACGUGGGGCUCGAACCCACGACCCUGAGAUUAAGAGUCUCAUGCUCUACCGACUGAGCUAGCCGGGCAAUGUGAAUUGGGCAGGACCAUAUAUCUUUCUGAAAUUCGUGAUAAGGAUAUGAACUGAUCAUGGUUAAUGUAUUUUAUGCUUUCUAAAAAUCUAUAUUUUGUGUCCAUGAACUUUACUUUUGUUCUAAACAUAUUAAUUUAGCUAUCUUGCCCAACUCCAAAGUAAAAUAAAAAUAUAUUUAAAACAUAUGCAAAAUAGUAUCUCCUGGCCCAUGGGGGGAUCGAACCCGCGGCCUUCGCGUUAUUAGCACGACGCUCUAACCAGCUGAGCUAAUGGGCCCCAUAACGCCAUGUACUUUGUAGGACUUUUUGAAAUAUCUAUGACACUAAUAUAUUACAUACUUUAUUGAAGAUAAGAAAAGCUAUAACUCUCCUUUAGAUAGAGAAUAAGAAUAGACAUACUAAAAUUUGAAUGGUAGCAAUGAUUUCUAAAGGUAUUACCUAUAUAAUCUUUUGCCGAUAUUCCUUAUCGAUCACUUGAGAUUUCUGAUGAAUUCCCAUGUUCGGGACCUUGAUAACAGCCCGGCUAGCUCAGUCGGUAGAGCAUGAGACUCUUAAUCUCAGGGUCGUGGGUUCGAGCCCCACGUUGGGCGAAAAUCCAUUUUUGUUUCCCCACAUUUUAAAUUCACAUUUUUAUGUUAUGUUCCUGCAUCAAAUACAUUUUACUCCAUACGUACAUAUAAGCCUGUGCCUCUUCUUCUGUUCUCUUGUUUUUAUUUUAAUCAAAGUUCUGUUUGUUUUACCCUGGGAACCUGCCCCAACAUAUUUGGCCUUGUCUGUGGCAGUCAGUCCAGACGCUGCCAGUGGCAUACUGAUUGAGAGUGUGCGAGGGGGUUGGACAACAUAAUGCGUGAUGCGCCUACCCAUGGGGCAUGGGGAAAGGGGAGCGGGCCAGCAUGUGCGCAGCAACCGCCGCCGACAACAUAAACAAUUUGUCUGCACAAAUAAGCUUUGCUCUGGAUGUUUUUCCCUUUCUUUUUCUUUCAAUUUGUAUGCACAUAAUGAAUGCUCUUGAAAAGGUUCCUUCAAAUGCUCUUUCUACUAACAAUUGUUUUCCAAAAGCACACGAAAAGCAGCUUGAGAUUCAUCAGGUUUCUAAGAUAAUUCAUACACGAAUCGCUUUCCAUAUCAACCAAAUUGAAAUUGAGGGUAUCUACCCUCUAUCAUCGCUUGUAUCAAUAUGCUCCACUGUCUGAAUCGUAGGGCAACAGAAACCGUCUGCCAGGCUGAUUAUCUGCCCGUUUACCCCAUGGUUCCCCACGAGUCUUCAUCAGCUUCUGCUCUAGCUCCAGCUUUAGUCUGUCUACCGUCUCUCUCUCUCUCUCUCUCUCCCCCUGAGUAUUUUGUUUUGUUUCCUUUCUCACAUUGUUUCGUUUUAAUAUUUUAUAGCAAAUUACUUGGCCGAAGGCAAGCGGCGGCGUCAGACAGAACAGGGUAUGGUAGGGGGUUGUCAUGACUGCCACUGCCACUGCCACCGCCACCCCCACCCCCAUAACCAUUACCAUUUCCACUUCCACAGCCUUCGCUCGGAUCCCUACUCCCAGGGCCCUGCAUCCAGUGCAUUGAGGUAGGCGCGUAAUUUUAUACAUCGUUUCCAUUAGGAAGCAGUAAAAUGUGCUAGAGCCAGACAAUAGGGUCCGCCGAGCGGCCAAGAAAACAAUUCAACUCUGGGAAGAGGGAUACGCAGACACAAAUAGGGACAGGUCCGCGACAAUGAUACCCAAAGGUUUGGAAGGGCGGGUGGGUGUAAAACCGUACAGAGAGUGUCUAGACUCUAGAAGAGGCUAAAAAUAAAUCAGGUGGGACCUUUGCCACGUGUACGGAGUUUUUUUGUUCACGGUUCGCGAUGCGUUAGGGGCCAACUCGCGCUUCUGACGCCAGCAAGCACCAAGCCCGGCUAGCUCAGUCGGUAGAGCAUGAGACUCUUAAUCUCAGGGUCGUGGGUUCGAGCCCCACGUUGGGCGAGUAAUCUCUUUUUCUUCUAUUUUUCUAUAUUUGUGUCGUAUGUUGUUUAGCAACUAAUAUUUAUUCUAAGCAGACCAGCUGACAAAUGCUUAACUAUUACCUAUGGCUGGCAGUAAACAACGGCCCAUUAGCUCAGCUGGUUAGAGCGUCGUGCUAAUAACGCGAAGGCCGCGGGUUCGAUCCCCCCAUGGGCCAGGAGUUACUUUUUUGUUUGUUUAUAAUUUUUGUAUUAUUAUUCUGUCAUUCCUAAAUGAUUCUUGAUAAGUUUUGAUUUUAUCUCAAGCCCUUUUUUAGUCCUCUCCUAUGUGAACUUUAUAAAUAUUAAACUUUUGAUCAAGUGAAAAGGCAAAGUAAGGAUCAAAAAAUAUUAUUCUGGCCCAUGAGGGGAUCGAACCCGCGACCUUCGCGUUAUUAGCACGACGCUCUAACCAACUGAGCUAAUGGGCCUCUUGACGCCAUCUUGUAUUCAGGAUGUUUUUCAAAAAAGCUGGACAAAUUUAAAUUUCUUAUGUUAUAGACGAUCCAAAAGAAGAAUCAAUACUAGAUCGCACCAGCGAUAUGGAAGCUACUCACAAAUAUGUGGAAUUCUUAUAUUGCAAUCAACAAAGUUAAUUAAGGCUAUGUUCCGGUACUUAUUGGGACUUAUUGGGUACUCGAAAUCCAGUAAGAACAUCGAUGAACCAAAAUAUUUCGAAAAAAGGAGAAUCAACUCUGGCCCAUGGGGGGAUCGAACCCGCGGCCUUCGCGUUAUUAGCACGACGCUCUAACCAGCUGAGCUAAUGGGCCAUGUGAUCACAGCGGUCAAUAUGUCCAAAUUGACUCUCUCGUAGCAAAGCGGUUAGGAAUGCAAGUGCUAAACUUAAUAGAAUAGAAUAGCUUAACAGAAUUUCAAUUUAAUGACUUACCAAUGGGAUGAUUGUUAGUAUAGUUUUAAUUUAUUGCACGCUGAAGACAGAAAUCGAUCGCAUAACUAUGGCCAUAUCACUGUAAUAAAAGAGAAAAAAUAUUCGGUCAUAAAUAAAACACACAAACAUGUACUACACAAUGGAAGAAUGUCAGAAAAGGCAUCAAUGAAAUAUUUGUUCCCAUGCAUGCACCAUGAAAGGAAAACUAAUAAAGAAAUAAAGAGAAAAUAGCCAUAAGAAGGGAGAGAAAAUAAGUGGGAAACGUAGAGCGAUGAAUGCAUGCUUCGUGGAUGCAAAAUGAAGUGAUAUGGGGGCCAUAUGAGGCGGUGGUGGAGGAAAACCGAGAGCCGACGCAAUACGUUUUCUGUGGUGUAGGUUAGGGCAAAAAAAGCUCCCCCACGCACACACUCACACACACACGAGUGUACAGGGAUACAGAUACGUGUGAUAGGGGUAGACGGGGGUGAAGGGGUGCAUACUCGUAACUUCAAUAGGCCUGUCGUCCCGUCCGACAACUUGCAAUUGUCGAAGAAUAAGCGUAGAAACAGGCAGACGGUGCAAAAGAGCUGCAAGAGAUGAAAGCAAAAUGCUGAAGAAUUGCAACGAAGCAGACUACGACCGGAUGACGAUGAGGAGGAGGAGGCGGUGCUGUGGUGCAGUGGUACUGUGGUACUGUGGUGGGGACAGACGCAGAGGCAGGCAUUCUGCCCGAUGUCAGGGGCAUGAAGUUGCAAUGAAAAUGAAAUUGCAAGCGGCCCAUAGACAUAGACAGACACAGAGACAGGCGGGAUAUAUUUAUACAUGUCGCUGUCCCUGUCUGUGUGCGUAUAGCCGUGCAUCUGUGUGUGGUGCACAUUAUAUUUAGUUACUUGUGUCUGGUUCUACUGCAUUCUAUGCGGCAGUUUCUAGAUAUGUAUCUGCGAGAUACAUUUCAGUCGGAUAGAGAACCCAGCGAGAACUCUGCUGAACACCCAACACAACACAAUUCUCUCUGCGCUAUUUUCGCUUUCAACGACCGUUUUGUCCGUCCGUCCCUCCCUGUACGCCGAUGGAUGAUGCGACUGACGGGCCGAAGUUGCAACCCAAAAUGGAGGACGAAGAUGUCUGUAGCAUGCAGUGUAUGUAGUUUGCUGCCAGACCAGUUUCCGAUUGUUGCAGGUUAAUGGGGCUCUGAAGAGGGGCCUGUUUCCAAGCCAAGAAUAUAGUUUUAUAGAGGGCUUAAGAUCCUCUAUUUUGCGUCUUCGGAGUUGUCAACUCUUAGCCAGAAUUUAACCAGUCCAGAAUAAAACUAAAAGCUCUUGAAGCUUACAAACUUUGAUACAUAGUGUGACAUUCUUCUUUGCUCCGAAAUCUCACUUGGAGCAAGAUGAAGGUCAAUAUUGUCAAUACAGACUUUUUUUGUAAGCAAAUUACACAAUUUACGACACUUGUAAGUCCAAAGUAAUUGGAGUGUACCUCUAGAAUCUAGACCUGCAUCAACUGCACUACACUGGCAGAGUGCUUAGAAUGAAUGCAUAAUAUAUAAACUAAAGAAAGCAGGGCUCCCAAAAAUCUAGGAAUCACGUUUGUUUCAGGUUCAUGCAGGGCUACAUAACCAUUAAGUUGAAAUCGGUAGUAGCUAGAGAACCUCUGGAUUGUCCAGAGUCUAGACUCAUGCAUUAAGUACUGAAAGGUGGAGAAGGGGGCAAGGGUGGGGUAGUACAAGUCGCUGAACGAGUUAACCGCGUCGCCAGCAGAGCCAGUGGCAGCGAAGCGACGCCUCUGUUGAGGCCUACAAACACACAUAGGAAACGAGAAGAACGUGGGCAGAAAGAGAGCCAGUGAGGAGAGAGACGACGGCGACCAAAAGCAAGACGGAGAGCAUCACACGAACGGAGAAUGUAGUGGUGUAUGUAAAUGGAGAAAACGACAGCUAAACAAACAGCAUGAACAACAAAACUACACAAAGUAGAAUGAGAAGCAGAAAAACAGAAACAACAACAACAAGAACUUAUUGUUGUUCCGCUUUGACACAGCUUUUCGUUCGCUUUCAGCCGAAGCAGACGAUGAAAACAAAAAAGUACGUAAAAACAGACCGUCGAAGAGAGAGACGAAGAGCGGCAUAAAGUCGAAGAACAGCCAGCCGAAAGCGAAACAUCAGAUAGCACAGAGAAGCAGAGAUGGGCAAGGAAGACAAGACACUCGAAAAAGAGGAUGCAACUUACCGAAAAGGAGACGAUAGAUGGUUGAACACAAAUAUUAUUUACAUUUAACACUUUGUAAUUUUGCUAUUUUACAUAGAACUCGCACACACACAAGCACAAACACAAACACUUACAGGCAGCUCGCUGGCUCUCUGGGACGCUUGCGACAGUUAUUCUCACACAGAGUUUAAGGCCUACUAUCAUCCCAUCACAGAUCGAAUCCCAACUUAAGCGCACUUUUCUUUAUAAAAACACACGACACUUUUUUUAGUUAUAAACAAAAUAUGAGAGCAGCGCGGCUAGUUUCGAGGGAUUUCUGUUUCUCUUUGUCAUUUGCCGCACAAGUAAAACGUUUGCAUUUGGAUUCCGAAGCCGCAACGGACUUUCCCGAGUUCAGAAACAAAUUCGACGCAAUCUUUCCGUUCCGUUUCCGCGGGCACGUUCAAUCCGUUCGCGAGUUGGGGAGCGACAUGCCCGAAAUGUUUCAUUCAUGCUCACGAGCUUGGGGGCGGCAAGGCCGAUUCAAAUACGCCCGCUUUCGAAUGUUGCACGAAUGUGUGUUGCCGGUGAGUUAGAAAAGGGAAUGGCCCACAAGCGAAUCGGCCCAAAAAACACAAGGCAUGCAAGGUAGAAUCCACCCUGUUACUAAACAUACUGUGAAGAGAGCUCAUUUUUGCGUUUUAAGUAUGAGUCCGUUGGUGUUGCCGCUGGCUUUGGAGCCGUUGGGGCAGCUAACACUGCUAAUGGCACUGCUUGCAGUCGAUAACAAGGUUAUUUUACUUGAAUAACAAACCUGAUUGCAUAUAUGUGAAACUUUUGUCACUCGGUUUCCAACGGGUCCUGUGGCGCAAUGGAUAACGCGUCUGACUACGGAUCAGAAGAUUCCAGGUUCGACUCCUGGCAGGAUCGCAGAAAUAUCUUUUUUUUAAUCUAAUCGUUUUUUCUAUUUAGUUAUUUUGUAGUUGUUCAUUGUUAGACUUUUUUAAGUCAAAAACCUUUUCGUUAACUUUUCUAAACCAUUUUCCAAACUUAUUCCAAUUCAAAACGACAGACAGACAACAAAAAUAAAUUCAAAAAGUUAAUUUCGCCCAACGUGGGGCUCGAACCCACGACCCUGAGAUUAAGAGUCUCAUGCUCUACCGACUGAGCUAGCCGGGCAUUUGGACAGACGUUGGCAAAGUAUAUUUCUGACCUGCAUUGUGACCAUAGCUUUUUCCCAUUGAUUUCGUAUUGACUCGUUUCUUAAGAACUUACGUUACUUUCAUUUCAGACGUUUGUGUGAUAAUAUUAUUACAAAAAUAUUCAAUUUCCAAAGCUUGUUUAGUGAAAAGCUCAUAUUAUAGAGCUUAUAAAUCUUGGCAACCAUUGGACUCAGAGCUGAUAUGCGGUCCUGUGGCGCAAUGGAUAACGCGUCUGACUACGGAUCAGAAGAUUCCAGGUUCGACUCCUGGCAGGAUCGAAUUUUUUUUAUUUCUUGAAAUUACUUGUCACAUUUUUUGUACUUCUUCAGAGAAUGGAACUUGCUUAGGUCUCGAUUUCGCACUUACACCUUACACCCCCCGUACGUGUCAUUCAAACGUGUUUGAGUGAGUCUCUGAGUUUUGCGCAUUAAGAAAGCAGCCAAGAUGUGGGGUAGGGCCACGGAUAUGAUGGGGAUUUGGGAUUCAAUGACAAAGUGCAGCUGCGGUGGCUCAGCGCAAAUCAAAUGGUAUAGUGUUGAGAGCGUGUGGAUUAUUUGGCGCUUUAUGUUAAACAGCUGAAACUUUCCACUCAGCAACCAGAGGGGUUAGAUGCGGCUUAUAGGACGCCAAGGACUUUUAAGGUGAGAUUUAAGCGAUACCUUUCGAGGGGGACAGUGCUGUUCUUCUGCGUGUGACUGCUGAAAAUUAUUUUGAACAAAUGAACAUCAAUACACAUGCAAAAAUAAAG